rnacentral:rRNA from 1 species
UACGGGGGGGGCAAGCGUUGUUCGGAAUUACUGGGCGUAAAGGGCUCGUAGGUGGCCAACUAAGUCAGACGUGAAAUCCCUCGGCUUAACCGGGGAACUGCGUCUGAUACUGGAUGGCUGGAGAUUGGGAGAGGGAUGCGGAAUUCCAGGUGUAGCGGUGAAAUGCGUAGAUAUCUGGAGGAACACCGGUGGCGAAGGCGGCAUCCUGGACCAAGAUUGACGCUGAGGCGCGAAAGCUAGGGGAGCAAACGGG